CGAGGACGAACGCUGGCGGCACGCUUAACACAUGCAAGUCGAACGGAGAAUCUUGGUUUACUGAGAAUUCUUAGUGGCGGACGGGUGAGUAACACGUGAGCAACCUGCCUCUGAGAGAGGGAUAGCUUCUGGAAACGGAUGGUAAUACCUCAUAACAUAACGAAGCCGCAUGACUUUGUUAUCAAAGAUUUAUCACUCAGAGAUGGGCUCGCGUCUGAUUAGAUAGUUGGUGAGGUAACGGCUCACCAAGUCGACGAUCAGUAGCCGGACUGAGAGGUUGAACGGCCACAUUGGGACUGAGACACGGCCCAGACUCCUACGGGAGGCAGCAGUGGGGAAUAUUGCGCAAUGGGGGAAACCCUGAAUGCAGCGAUGCCGCGUGGAGGAAGAAGGUUUUCGGAUUGUAAACUCCUGUCUUAAAGGACGAUAAUGACGGUACUUUAGGAGGAAGCUCCGGCUAACUACGUGCCAGCCGCUGC
rnacentral:rRNA from 1 species